UACAACAGGUGGAGUAGACCUUACAGUGAAAUGCUGAAUACAACAGGUGGAGUAGACCUUACAGUGAAAUGCUGAAUACAACAGGUGUAGUAGACCUCACAGUGAAAUGCUGAAUACAACAGGUGUAGUAGACCUUACAGUGAAAUGCUGAAUACAACAGGUGUAGGUAGACCUCACAGUGAAAUGCUGAAUACAACAGGUGUAGUAGACCUUACAGUGAAAUGCUGAAUACAACAGGUGGAGUAGACCUCACAGUGAAAUGCUGACUACAACAGGUGUAGUAGACCUCACAGUGAAAUGCUGAAUACAACAGGUGUAGGUAGACCUCACAGUGAAAUGCUGAAUACAACAGGUGUAGUAGACCUCACAGUGAAAUGCUGAAUACAACAGGUGUAGGUAGACCUUACAGUGAAAUGCUGAAUACAACAGGUGUAGUAGACCUUACAGUGAAAUGCUGAAUACAACAGGUGUAGUAGACCUUACAGUGAAAUGCUGAAUACAACAGGUGUAGUAAACCUUACAGUGAAAUGCUGAAUACAACAGGUGGAGUAGACCUUACAGUGAAAUGCUGAAUACAACAGGUGUAGUAGACCUUACAGUGAAAUGCUGAAUACAACAGGUGUAGUAGACCUUACAGUGAAAUGCUGAAUACAACAGGUGUAGUAGACCUUACAGUGAAAUGCUGAAUACAACAGGUGUAGUAGACCUUACAGUGAAAUGCUGAAUACAACAGGUGUAGUAG